AUGACUAACAUAUUUAUUUGCAUGCUCACCAAAUGGUCUGCCUGUAGCUAUCUCAAACUCAGAGAUUACAUAGCGGCCCUCCAACGGCUUCUUUGGCCCUCGUGGAGGUACGCUUCUCCCCGUAGAGGUCGAUCCAGAAGGCUACACGUAGAUAUAGAAACAAAAAUACUAAAUUAAUAACCAAGUAAUAAGUCUAAAACCUAAUGUAAGAGAUGC
rnacentral:lncRNA from 1 species